UGGGGAAUAUUGCACAAUGGGCGCAAGCCUGAUGCAGCCAUGCCGCGUGUGUGAAGAAGGCCUUCGGGUUGUAAAGCACUUUCAGCGGGGAGGAAGGCGGUGAGGUUAAUAACCUCAUCGAUUGACGUUACCCGCAGAAGAAGCACCGGCUAACUCCGUGCCAGCAGCCGCGGUAAUACGGAGGGUGCAAGCGUUAAUCGGAAUUACUGGGCGUAAAGCGCACGCAGGCGGUCUGUCAAGUCGGAUGUGAAAUCCCCGGGCUCAACCUGGGAACUGCAUUCGAAACUGGCAGGCUAGAGUCUUGUAGAGGGGGGUAGAAUUCCAGGUGUAGCGGUGGAAUGCGUAGAGAUCUGGAGGAAUACCGGUGGCGAAGGCGGCCCCCUGGACAAAGACUGACGCUCAGGUGCGAAAGCGUGGGGAGCAAACAGG
rnacentral:rRNA from 1 species